GGAUUGGUUAGCCAGGGGGAAGGAGAGAGGGGAUUGGUUAGUCAGGGGGAAGGAGAGAGGGGAUUGGUUAGUCAGGGGGAAGGAGAGAGGGGAUUGGUUAGCCAGCGCAAAGGAGAGAGGGGAUUGGUUAGUCAGGGGGAAGGAGAGAGGGGAUUGGUUAGUCAGGGGGAAGGAGAGAGGGGAUUGGUUAGUCAGGGGGAAGGAGAGAGGGGAUUGGUUAGUCAGGGGGAAGGAGAGAGGGGAUUGGUUAGUCAGGUGGAAGGAGAGAGGGGAUUGGUUAGUCAGGUGGAAGGAGAGAGGGGAUUGGUUAGUCAGGUGGAAGGAGAGAGGGGAUUGGUUAGUCAGGGGGAAGGAGAAAGGGUAUUGGUUAGUCAGGGGGAAGGAGGUUUGGGAAGGGUAAUGCUGCCUUAACACCAGGGGGCACUGCUGCCUUAACACCAGGGGGCACUGCUGCCUUAACACCAGGGGGCACUGCUGCCUUAACACCAGGGGGCACUGCUGCCUUAACACCAGGGGGCACUGCUGCCUUAACACCAGGGGGCACUGCUGCCUUAACACCAGGGGGCACUGCUGCCUUAACACCAGGGGGCACUGCUGCCCCACAGGAUUUAGUCUG